rnacentral:rRNA from 1 species
AUUGAACGCUGGCGGCAGGCCUAACACAUGCAAGUCGAGCGGAUGAAGGGAGCUUGCUCCUGGAUUCAGCGGCGGACGGGUGAGUAAUGCCUAGGAAUCUGCCUGGUAGUGGGGGAUAACGUCCGGAAACGGGCGCUAAUACCGCAUACGUCCUGAGGGAGAAAGUGGGGGAUCUUCGGACCUCACGCUAUCAGAUGAGCCUAGGUCGGAUUAGCUAGGUGGUGGGGUAAAGGCCUACCAAGGAGACGAUCCGUAACUGGUCUGAGAGGAUGAUCAGUCACACUGGAACUGGGACACGGUCCAGACUCCUACGGGAGGCAGCAGUGGGGAAUAUUGGACAAUGGGCGAAAGCCUGAUCCAGCCAUGCCGCGUGUGUGAAGAAGGUCUUCGGAUUGUAAAGCACUUUAAGUUGGGAGGAAGGGCAGUAAGUUAAUACCUUGCUGUUUUGACGUUACCAACAGAAUAAGCACCGGCUAACUUCGUG